UACGGGGGGGGCAAGCGUUGUUCGGAAUUACUGGGCGUAAAGGGCUCGUAGGUGGCCAACUAAGUCGGACGUGAAAUCCCUCGGCUUAACCGGGGAACUGCGUCCGAUACUGGUUGGCUUGAGUUUGGGAGAGGGAUGCGGAAUUCCAGGUGUAGCGGUGAAAUGCGUAGAUAUCGGGAGGAACACCUAUGGCGAAGGCAGCUCGCUGGGACGUUACUGACGCUGAGACGCGAAAGCGUGGGGAGCAAACAGG
rnacentral:rRNA from 1 species